UACGUAGGCAGCAAGCGUUGUUCGGAGUUACUGGGCGUAAAGAGUGCGUAGGGGGUGCCCUAAGUCUGUUGUGAAAUCUCCCGGCUUAACUGGGAGGGUGCGGUGGAAACUGGGGUGCUUGAGUGUGGGAGAGGUAAGCGGAAUUCCUGGUGUAGCGGUGAAAUGCGUAGAUAUCAGGAGGAACACCGGUGGUGUAGACGGCUUACUGGACCACGACUGACACUGAUGAGCGAAAGCCAGGGGAGCAAACGGG
rnacentral:rRNA from 1 species